rnacentral:tRNA from 1 species
GCCGGGGUAGCUUAGUGGUAAAGCAACGGUUUUGUAAACCGUAGACCGGAGGUUCAAAUCCUCUCCCCGGCU